UGCAGUCGAACGGCAGCGCGGGGCAACCUGGCGGCGAGUGGCGAACGGGUGAGUAAUAUAUCGGAACGUACCCAAGAGUGGGGGAUAACGUAGCGAAAGUUACGCUAAUACCGCAUACGAUCUAAGGAUGAAAGUGGGGGAUCGCAAGACCUCAUGCUCCUGGAGCGGCCGAUAUCUGAUUAGCUAGUUGGUAGGGUAAUGGCCUACCAAGGCGACGAUCAGUAGCUGGUCUGAGAGGACGACCAGCCACACUGGGACUGAGACACGGCCCAGACUCCUACGGGAGGCAGCAGUGGGGAAUUUUGGACAAUGGGGGCAACCCUGAUCCAGCAAUGCCGCGUGUGUGAAGAAGGCCUUCGGGUUGUAAAGCACUAUUGUCCGGAAAGAAAACGCCCGGGUUAAUACCCUGGGCGGAUGACGGUACCGGAAGAAUAAGCACCGGCUAACUACGUGCCAGCAGCCGCGGUAAUACGUAGGGUGCAAGCGUUAAUCGGAAUUACUGGGCGUAAAGCGUGCGCAGGCGGUCUGUUAAGACCGAUGUGAAAUCCCCGGGCUUAACCUGGGAACUGCAUUGGUGACUGGCAGCUUUAGUGUGGCAAGGAGGUAGAAUUCCACGUGU
rnacentral:rRNA from 1 species